AGAGGGUGCAAGCGUUAAUCGGAUUUACUGGGCGUAAAGCNNNNGUAGGCGGCUAAUUAAGUCAAAUGUGAAAUCCCCGAGCUUAACUUGGGAAUUGCAUUCGAUACUGGUUAGCUAGAGUGUGGGAGAGGAUGGUAGAAUUCCAGGUGUAGCGGUGAAAUGCGUAGAGAUCUGGAGGAAUACCGAUGGCGAAGGCAGCCAUCUGGCCUAACACUGACGCUGAGGUGCGUAAGCAUGGGGAGCAAACAGGAUUAGAUACCCUGGUAGUCCAUGCCGUAAACGAUGUCUACUAGCCGUUGGGGCCUUUGAGGCUUUAGUGGCGCASUAACGCGAUAAGUAGACCGCC
rnacentral:rRNA from 1 species